rnacentral:rRNA from 1 species
UACAGAGGUCCCAAGCGUUGUUCGGAUUCACUGGGCGUAAAGGGUGCGUAGGUGGUGGGGUAAGUUUGAGGUGAAAGCUCCGGGCUCAACCCGGAAAUGGCCUUGAAGACUAUCCUGCUCGAGGGUUGGAGGGGGGACUGGAAUUCUCGGUGUAGCAGUGAAAUGCGUAGAUAUCGAGAGGAACACCAGUGGCGAAGGCGAGUCCCUGGACAACACCUGACACUGAGGCACGAAAGCUAGGGGAGCAAACAGG